UAGAAAACUAAUAUUAGUGGGAAGAAUUAGAUUCAGUAGAAUAUCUUGAUGGGUUUGAAUUUAUCAUUGAGUUAAAGUUAAUCUUAAAUCAAAGCUCACCAGCUUUCUGGCCAGAGAAAGGCUAUGUUUCCAACCUGGGAAAGGAAAAAAGAAGGAUGUUAAGAGUUGCUUUGAAAGAUGGAUAAAUAUGUUCUACACACAUACCUUUCAAAACUCAACUCUAGCUCAACUCACCUUAAUUCUUUUUCAAAGUAGGAAUUAUUGGAAAACCAGUUGGAAGGAGGUCAUUCUUCACCCCUAGUAGUAAAUACCAUAGUGUUGAGAGCCCUGUGGAGAAAGGAGGAUGAAGGAGCAGUGGAAAGUUAAAGAGGAUGCAUAAAAAGAGGGGAAGGAGAAGAAAGGAAAUCAUCAAUUAUGACAGAAGAGUGAAAAGAUGAAAGAGGAAAAGAGAAAUGGAGCUUCAGAGGGAAGAGGGAGGACAGGAUUUCAGGAAAAAUGCACACUCCCCUCACAAAGGGCUCAGGGAAGAUUUUGUUCAGUAAGAUGAACUUUUGAUACCACUUACUGAAGAAAUAGUUCCUGUGGGUUAUUCUGCUGUUACCUUUUAUCUGUAGAAUAUCUUACUUUGCAUUAAGCCAAUAAAAGAGAGGAGUUGUGUUUUAUUCCCCAUCUGGAUUUGCACGGGGUAGAAAUUUUUAUCCUGAAGAAUGUCAUGUUCAAACUUUAGGUAGGCAAAAGGCUAUCUAGUUUCCUCUCAGUGCAUUUUAAUUGAUCUUUUUCAAUGAAAUCCCUCUCCCAACCACUGCUAAUUCACGAUAGCCUCAAAAGGUUUGGUGUUUAUGCAGAUUAAAGUACAAACAGCAGAACAGGAUGAAAGAUAAAUCUUUUGCCAAAAAAGCAAGAGCUCUCUCAGGGAGACUUGCAUCUCUUUUAAGAAGUUCUUCACACAAUUAAAGCAAGGGGCCAGGAUGGGGAAUUGUGUGUGUGGUGUCUUCCUAUGAACUGCAAAAUUCCCUCUGCCUAGGGUGUGGAUUUGAGUCGGAGUCAGGCUUCUAAAGUCUAAUUAUAUCUCUGAAAUGGUUAGAGUAAAAAUCCUUGCCUUAAUGUGUGUGCAUCUUCCAGUGAUCUGGGAAUUUAUGGUUGAAUCCCCUCUAUUCCCAACUGUUUCCAGCUAUGCCCAUUUAGAAAAUCAGGAUGAAAUCUGUCUACAGCCAGGAUGAUGUUAAUACAGUCUUCAAAGAGCAGAACUAAUUCAGCAAACCGUCUGUGUGAAAGAAUCCCAUAGGUUUCAAAAUGUUUUCCCUCUGCUUGAAAGGUAAAACCAGACCUUCUAGAGUAUUGCCCUACACUAACAAAACAUACUUAAACUCAUAAAAAAUCCAGUUGAUACACUUAAAUUGUUAAAAAAAAUGAAUCAACACCUGUUGACUAUGGAAGCCAACCACAGUGAUAUAAACUAGAUUAAAGAGGCUGAAACAAAUUAAAAGUAUAUGACUUUUAGUAUAUAUGAGAGUUUAGGAAAUCAAAAUAUUUAUAGCUUAUAAGAGCUACUUACGACUUCCUAAUGUCCUUCUAUUGGCCCUGAUGCUCUUUUCCAAAACUUCAGUAUUCCUUUUCUAUCUUAGAAGUUUGGAUCCUUUAAACAGCGUGACAGAAGUAUGUUUCUUUAGUGACAAAAAUGGCUAUAAAGACUUCCUUAAUAAUGUAUUUUGUAUCAGCUUUUACUAAGAAUAUAUGGUAACAUGGGAAGCCUAGUGCUGGAAAGGAACCGUUGAAAUGCCUCUGUUCUACGAUCUCUUGAGCAGUGAUGCCCUCCUGUGGGCUCCAGGUAGUAUGAUUUCUACUGCAAGAACCAAAGGUUGAUCCAUGAGAACAACGUGGUUUUCCCUCCUUCUAAUAUUCUAACACUGACUAAAAUAUCCCACGAAGACAUUUAACACAGUGCAUGAUUUGGCCAGUGCCUCUGGUUUGAGAAAUGCAUUUGCUUUAGGUGAUGAUACAGGCGGAGCUUUUACCUGUGUUACAAACCUAAACUGCUUAUGCAAUUAAUUUUUAUUCUAUAUGUUGGUAUCAGAAUUAAAACAAUUUAAUGCUGCAACUGCCCUGCCAGGAGGGGAAAAGUAUGCAUUUAUUUUUAAUAGUGUUUGCCUUUGAAAUAUGUAGGACAAUAUUAUGCAUUUACUUGUAAAUAGUUAAAAGCAGUUUGAAAAUAGAGUGCAGAAACUGCUGUAGCUGUUGGAGUGUUGCCUGGUUUAGCAGACCUGUCCUCUCUCACGCAUAUGGUGUGAGCCUUGUUCUUUGGUUCUGUGCUCACGCUGCUGCGGUACCUGCGUAUCUCCUGUUUGCAGUGGCUGACGUAGCUAGAGGGAAACGGCACGUUUCAGGAGCACGUAAAGGCACAUAGUUCACAGGAAUGUAUAUAACUGAUCAGGUGACUGGAUGCCUCGCCAGGCAUGAAUCCCGCAGGAAUUGGAAAGGUCUGGUUGGAAUCUCUGGAGUGGCUCAGAUGAAGGUCUGUGGGAUGUGCAGGAGAAACCAAUGUUUACCUCUCUAGGAAAGUCUGCGUCACGGGGGCUUGGUGGUAUGUGUCAGGGCACGUGUACGUUCGCAGUGCGCUUGGCCCUGCUAUACAGGUACUGAACUCUGAGAACGUGAUUUGAGUGAAUACAUGAACUGCAUGAGGUCACUUACAUGGCAGUUGGGAAAGGACGGUGGGCAGGAGGACAGCAGGUCAGGUGACAUUUGGUCUUUCUGUAGCAUCUGAGGAGACAUGUCUAUCUGCAAGAGAUGGGUAUAUAUAUUUCUUAUAUAUAUAUUUUCCUUUCAUUAAUCAACCAGUCAGAAGUGCAGAUGAAGAGGAAGCAGCUGGGCUAUACUUGUGUCAGGGACUGAUUUUACCUACUGGUUUGCUCCCAUCUUGAAGACCCUCAUCUCCUUCUGCUGCGGAAAGCAGCAGUGCCUUCUGUCUUUGAUCUCUUCCUUGGCCUACUUGUCUGUCUUGCUUUCAGAAAGAGAAAGUGAGCCAUAAACAAGCCUUCUGUUUGCUUUGUUAUCCGUUGAGGCCAUAAUUAGCUCCUUUUCAUUUUUCUUCCUUUUUGCUGUAAAUUAUUAAGGGUCUAUAAAACUCUUGUGGGUUAUUUUCUACAUGAACCAGAUAUUAAUUUAUCUUGGGAAGGGCCACACGGUUUCUACAAUAAGUGGCAGCAAAAUAUAUUUUUGUAUUUCCUGUAAUUGUGUGGAGCUUGCAGAUGGCCUCUGGGAAGAAGCUUUUUUUUUUUUUUUUUAAUAGAGUAGGAUAUGUUUGUUUAUUUUAAAACCACAAAUAUUUUAGUGACAUUGUGGGCAUAUUCUCUUUUCUAAAACCAGAUAAAAUGAUUGUGUCUGUUCAUGCAUUGAGAUAAAUGGAUCUAAACAUGACAUCUUUCCCUUUAUGUGGUUGUCAAACACGGGCAUUUAAUAUUCCUGCCAAAUUAAUAAGUUAUUCUUAACAGACUUCACCAUAACAGAAAAAAAAUUCCAAUUUAAGAAAAAUCAGAUUACUAUAUUGCAAGUAUUAAUUCUACUGGUUAACGAUAAUCAUAGCCUU